UUGGUGUUGGUGAUAGCUGGUGUCCUAGUCACAUGGAAGAUGUGGAGAAAGCAUAAGGACAAUAAGGCCAUGGACCAGACAACAAACACCUCAUUGCAGGACCCAUUUCCUGCCAAUGGUGAUGAUGUGACUUACAGCACUGUUGUCCCCAAGAGGAGGAACCAGCUAAAUGUACAGACCAAGGCAGAACCAGAUGAUAAUGUGGUCUACAGCUCACUAGCCCUACACCACACAGGUCAGUGUUGACUUAUCUUCUCUCUCAUGUACCUACACAGAUGAUGCUAAUCUCUCAACAAA